rnacentral:lncRNA from 1 species
GUAAACUGGAUGUUCUUCAGUCCAGCUGAUGAAGUGAGUCUCAGAGUGGAAACACUGAACGUCUUUUUUUCUCUCCUCAGAUGGAGUUAACAUCUGUCAGAGUGAAUAAGAAGAGGAUCGUGUGUUUCCUGACGAUCAGAGAGGUGGAGGCAGCAGCAGUGAGGGUGAGGUGAGUCUCUGACUGAGAGACUGACUGACCAAUCACAGCGGGCGGAGAGGACUCUGGGAGCUGCACUUUGACCUGCUCUGAGAUCAGCUCAGGACCUGGACUCUGGAUAUUUGAUAUUUUCCCUCAUACUCUGGGAUCAAACAGUCUGAACAGGUUUGUUUUGUUGAUGGAAACAUGAUCAUAAAUUUACACUUUGAUUGGAUUACUUUGUUUUCACCAUGAUGCAGCGCCACCCAGUGGAAAUAUAAAGAGGUGGAGUUGAUUUAUUCCCUCAUAUUUCUGCAGCAGGAGUUGAUACCAUGUGUGAGAGUAGAUCAGUCAGAAGUUCAGAUUAAACCCAAAGGUUUUUUCUUUCCUUUGCACCGUUAGAGACCGAAUAUAAACUGAAGGGAGAGGAAGAGAAGUGAGGAGAGAUGGAGGUGAAGGGAGGAGGAGGAGGACAGGGUUUGGGGUUUUAACAAAAAUCUGAAGCUUUAUUCUUUCACUUGAUUAUUUUUAUUCAUCCGUUUUCUUCUUCAUUUUCUGAACUGAUUGUAAAUAUUGACUGGAGGUAAAUUGACCUUAUUUUAUAUUAUUAGACAUUAUUUUCCGUCUCUUUACAUGUUUUUGUUCUCAUAUCAUCUUUGUGCUCAUCAAUAAUCGAUUCCCUCCAGUUUGAACAAAUACAAUUAUUAAACCAUAAAUGAGACCUGAGAGUAAAAUUAAAAUGUGUGAAAUAUAAUCAGUCAAAGGAAAGAUUCUUAAACAAAAACAAAAUCAUUAUUUUUACUUUAUUAUGAUGGAGAAGUUUUCCUCUGACAGACAAAAAUAACCAUAUUGACCGGAGUCUGGAAAAAGUGAGAUCAGCAUCUAUUCAGGGUGAAGUCAUUAAUGUGGUCGAUGCUGUUUUAUAAACUCAGUGUUGUUGAUUACAAUCUCAGCUUCAUAAACUGAUGCUACAGUGGAGUGACUUCCUGUAAAAUCCACUGGCUUUGUGAGACCGUCAGCUUUCAGGAGAUCAGUUUGUGUUUCUGUGACACUCCAAAGCUUUUCUAUCCCACAGAAAAGAUCGGUGUGUUUUCAGAGACCUUCCUGAUCCCAUCCCUCCAAAAUAAAAAUAAUCUGAUGGUUUAUGGAUUCAUUUCAGUAACAAAGUGUCAUUUCUGUUGUUAGCCAAUCAGAGGCUGUAUCUGCCAUCAGCUGACCUGUAAAGGUCCAAUCAGAAGUCAGGACAGCUCAUGCCACAGUCUGAUCACACUACAGACACAUAAAACAUAGAACUAUUGUAAACAGAUUUGUCCUCUUCAGUUUAUCUACUAUCAAUAGAUCUGUGCUCUGUCUGUGUAACACUCUGUUGGUUCUUCAUUUACACCAGAUCAUUUUUUAUUUCAUUUCACUGUAACAAUGCCAUUUAAAGAUAAUAAAAACUUUAUUUGAACCAAAACAUGUUAAAAACGUCAACUCGGCUCGUUUCAUUCACUGUGUGCAAUUGAUUAUUAUUAUUUUUCAUUCAAACAGAAACUAGAUUUGGUCUUUAAAAAGUCCUCAAAGUGAGUCUGAAAAGUAGAGGAAGGUUUUAUCAUCAGGGUGCAGCACAGUUGUUUCCUGUGUUUUCAUUUGUGAUAUUCUCUCUAAGGUGUGUUAUUGUUCAUUUAAAGUAUGUGGAGGACAAAUCCACACAUCUAACAAAGAAGGUAAAAUAUAAAGAUAGGAGAUUUCUGCAUGACAUCAACGAUAUCCUGGAUUUAGUUUUCUAAGCAACAGGUGGUCGUCUUUUAUCGGGGGUACUUUGAUCCAGAAAUCUGAAAAGGGGUUACUAAAGCAAAAGAAGAAAAACCAGAGACUGUAUAUAGAAUGGACAGAGUCUGCCUCCUCGCUGGGUGAAGCCACUCUGAGAACAGCACCCUCUGUUGAUGGGCUGCAGUAUAGGUCAUAAAUCCCGCCUGCGCCAGCAAAGCUUAUGGAGCUGUGGACGAACUUUAGAAAUUUAUUACACAGAACAUAAUUUUUUCUCCCUCCUGGUUGUGAUGUUGACAUGUAGUUAUUGUCAGACUGGUUUGUGCUCAAGUCCUCUUUUUUCUGUGAAGCUCCAUUUUUAAAAGUUAUUAGGGGGUUCAUGUUUGCUAUGACGUUUCACAGCCAUAAGGAAUAACCAAUCGGAGCCUAGCACUUCUAGCCAAUCAGAUGCGAAGGAGGGUGGGACCUUCCCCUACCAUCCCACGAAAAAAAAAACCAAACACGUCCGGGUUUGCCGACCUUUAUUUCUGAGCCCCAGAUAACAGGACAGAGAUACCUAAAGCAUACAACGUGAACUUGUGUUAUCACAUCAACAUAUUUGGCUCCUACACUGAAUAUAAUGUUGGACAGUGAUCUUUGUAAAGUGAGGUGAAGGAGGAGUUUGUGUAGUGACAACACAAUCACACUGUGUGCAAAAAUAAAAACCUGUUCAACCAAAUCUUCACAUUUAGUUGGGGUAUGAGAAGAGGAGUGC